UAACAGUUGUUACUCAAGAUGGAGGAAGGGGGCCAUGCGUUAAAGACUGUGGGCAUCAUCUUAAAGCUGGAAACGACAAGGAAACAGAUUAUGCUCUAGAGACUCCAGAAGGGAAUGUAACUCUUCUGACUCCCUGAUCUUCUUUUAGCCCAAUGAGACCCAGGCUGGACUGCUGAACUACAGAACUCCGGACUCAGGACCACAACAGAGCCCGAGAUUGCAGAUUUGAAGAAAUUCAGUCUCCUGAAUUUGAGGGGAAAGCAGGAUUUAAGAGAUCUUCUUUGAAGGUUAUAAGAAAUAGCAACAAAAGAUGGGCUGACGGAGGCAUGACUGGACAGCUUGGAGAUGUUACUCUGUAAAUUGAAAAGAAAGGACUUUGCCAUUUAUGUCUUGUAGAUCACCUAGAAUUUUAUAAUAAUAGAAUUACAGAGU